UACAGAGGUCUCAAGCGUUGUUCGGAUUCAUUGGGCGUAAAGGGUGUGUAGGUGGCGCGCUAAGUCGGGUGUGAAAUUUCGGAGCUUAACUCCGAAACUGCAUUCGAUACUGGCGUGCUUGAGGACUGGGGAGGAGACUGGAAUUUACGGUGUAGCGGUGAAAUGCGUAGAUAUCGUAAGGAAGACCAGUGGCGAAGGCGGGUCUCUGGACAGUUCCUGACGCUGAGGCACGAAGGCCAGGGGAGCAAACGGG
rnacentral:rRNA from 1 species